rnacentral:tRNA from 1 species
UUAAUUGAAGCCAAAGUAAGAGGCUAUUCAUUGUUAAUGAAUAAAAUGGUUGCCCUAACCCAAUUAAA